UACGGGGGGAGCAAGCGUUGUUCGGAUUUACUGGGCGUAAAGGGCGCGUAGGCGGCCACCGCAAGUCAGUUGUGAAAUCUCUGGGCUUAACCCAGAAAGGUCAACCGAUACUGCGGGGCUAGAGUGCAGAAGGGGCAACUGGAAUUCUCGGUGUAGCGGUGAAAUGCGUAGAUAUCGAGAGGAACACCUGCGGCGAAGGCGGGUUGCUGGGCUGACACUGACGCUGAUGCGCGAAAGCUAGGGGAGCGAACGGG
rnacentral:rRNA from 1 species